GGAGGAUUGGCCGAGUGGUAAGGCAGCGGCUUGCUAAGCCGUCGUCGGGGCGUACGACCCCCGCGCGCGUUCGAUCCGCGCAUCCUCCGCCC
rnacentral:tRNA from 1 species